rnacentral:ncRNA from 1 species
GUAGCCAAAUGCCUUGUCAUGUAAUUAGUGAUGCACAUGACUGGAUUAACUAGAUUCCCACUAUCCCUAUCUACUAUCUAGAGAAACUACAACCAAGGGAAUGGGCUUGGUAUAAUCAACAGGGAAAGAAGACCUUGUUGAGCUUGAAUCUAGUUUGACUUUGUGAAAUUACUUGAGAGGUGUAGAAUAAGUGGGUUUCAUUUUUGGCACAAAUGAAAUACCACUACUUUUAACGUUAUUUUACUUAUUCUGUGGGGUGGAGAUGGGGCAUUUACCCUAUUUUUUCCCAUUAAGACAUGUUUUGAUGGGUCGAUCUGGGUGGAAGAAAUUGUCAGAUGGGGAUUUUGGAUGGGGAGACACAUCUAUUAAAAGAUAACAUAAAAUAUAAUUGGUGUAUAUAGAACAUUUGUAUUUGGGAUAUCCUAGAGAAAAACCACCGUUAUUACCUUUCCCUCCUAAUUUGUAGUUACAUCCAAUCAUUUCUAAAUUGAAUCUAGUUUCCUCACUUGCACAGUAUGGAUAGAUGUGUGAAGCCUACCCCCCAUUUUCUAGUACCAUGAUAUGGGAUAUCCCUAACCAUGAACCAAAUGUUCCUAAGGUUUCCAAGGUUAUCUCUUCUAACUUAGAUUUCUUAGUCCUUACCCAUGA